rnacentral:lncRNA from 1 species
ACUCACUCACAACGACUUCUUCUCUUCACAGCGACUCAAGGCGAGUUUUUAGAGCGAAAGAGAGAGAGAGUGUAAAGGUUCGUCGGCGGCGAGUACUGUGUUCGUCGGCGGCGAGUUUCUUCUCUUUCGAACGAGAGAGAGACAUUUUUUUUUGUUUUUUUUUUCCAAUUCUAAAUAGUGACGAGAAAGAAAAUGUUCACUUUCCUUUUUGAUAAUUAAUAAGAGAAUAACUGUUGAUGAUGAUGUGGCAAUUUCGGGUACGACGUGGCAUUUUCGGAUCUGACGUGGUAAUUUUAAGUGAAAAC